rnacentral:pre_miRNA from 1 species
AGUGGGAUAGCUGGGUCAAAUGGUGGUUCCAUUUCCAAUUUUCUAAGGAAUCUUCAUACCAUUUUCCAGAUUGGCUGCACUAAUUUGCAGUCCCACCAGCAGU